UGUCCUCCUCACUCGCUACGCUUCUCACCCAGACAGCACUCGGCCCUUCCUUUACCUCCGUGCGUCUCUUCAGCUCCUGAGCGUCGCGCUGCCAACAUGAAGUUCAUCGCGUCUGGUGUCUUGCUGUUGCUGCUGCUGUGUGUUGUGGUCGAGUCGGGACGUGCAAGCACCGUUGCACCGAGGAACUGCCCCCGACCGGAUCCUAAAAUUGUUUGCAUCCGCAAUCGAAUGGAAUGUGAACAGAAUGACCCUUCUUCCUGUCCCCGUGGCAAGCAGUGCUGUGCAGGCGCGUGCGGUUUUCAGUGUGUCUCGAUGUCCAGUAAUCAUUAAU